AUUGAACGCUGGCGGCAGGCCUAACACAUGCAAGUCGAGCGAGCGGCGGACGGGUGGGUAAUGUCUCGGGAACUGCCUGAUGGAGGGGGAUAACUCCUGGAAACGGGCGCUAAUACCGCAUACCCUCGGAUGUGCCCAGAUGGGAUUAGCUAGUAGGUGGGGGAACGGCUCACCAAGGCGACGAUCCCUAGCUGGUCUGAGAGGAUGACCAGCCACACUGGAACUGAGACACGGUCCAGACUCCUACGGGAGGCAGCAGUGGGGAAUAUUGCACAAUGGGCGCAAGCCUGAUGCAGCCAUGCCGCGUGUGUGAAGAAGGCCUUCGGGUUGUAAAGCACUUUCAGCGGGGAGGCGUUACCCGCAGAAGAAGCACCGGCUAACUCCGUGCCAGCCGCCGCGGUAAUUC
rnacentral:rRNA from 1 species